rnacentral:sRNA from 1 species
GCCGGGCACGGCGGUGCACGCCUGUAAUCCCAGCGGCUCAGGAGGCGGAGGCAGGAGGAUCAUGAGUUCAAAGUCAGCCUCAGCAAUUUAGUGAGGCACUAAGCAACUCAGUGAGACCCUGUCUCUA